rnacentral:misc_RNA from 1 species
GAAAUGCGAUAAGUAAUGUGAAUUGUAGAAUUCAGUGAAUCAUCGAAUCUUUGAACGCACAUUGCGCCCGGCAGCAAUCUGCCGGGCAUGCCUGUCCGAGCGUCAUUUCUGCCCUCGAGCGCGGUUCGGCCCCUAGCGGGCCGGCCGCCGCCCGGUGUUGGGGCGCUGCGGGCCCUCGUGCCCGCAGGCCCUGAAAUGAAGUGGCGGUCCCGCCGCGGCGCCCCCUGCGUAGUAGUAAAGCACCUCGCAUCGGGUCCCGGCGGAGGCCAGCCGUCGAACCUCUCUUUUGAUGGUUUGACCUCGGAUCAGGUAGGGUUACCCGCUGAACUUAAGC